GUGCUUGCUUCGGCAGCACAUGUACUAAAAUUGGAACAAUACAGAGAUUAGCAUGGCCCCUGCACAAAGAUGACUCGCAAAUUCGUGAAGCAUUCCAUAUUUUU
ensembl:snRNA U6 U6 spliceosomal RNA